UUCCCUCCUCGCGGCAGGCCGGCGUAGCCCUACGGAAUUGACGUAAAGCCUCUCGGCUCGGCCGCGUUCCUACCUGGGGCCGCUACUCCUUGCGUAAACUGCGUGAUGCCGCCCGCCGCCCGGGGACGGGGCUCUCUGCAGCUCAAAGAGCUCCCGCGGGCAACACGGGUCAGGGACGGCCAAGGCUGCGCCCGGGAACGUCACUGACGUAAAGACCCUCAAAGAGAAAUCACGAUAAAUGAGUUCAAGGUAGCUUUCAGUUGCCCUGCAAUCAUUCUUCCUAAUCCCAACACGUGACCGUUGCCCAGCAGAUGGGCACCACGGUGGAGCUGAAGAGAGAUCUCCAGGUGCUGUUCAUCAGACUCUCCAGAGAAGUUGUAGCGUGCCAAAGCCUUGAGGUGCUGUUGGGUCACAGUGCAGCUCGCCGUGGCCACCCUGAAACUUGAAUUGUCUGUAGACUCUGCUGGCUUCAGUCCACUAGUUGUGUUCCCCCCUCUCAUCUGGCAGCUGCUGAAUGUCUAAUGGCCAUGACAAAAGUCACAGCAGUAAACAGGCUUCUUUCAAAUAAUCCUGAAGCCUGGGAGGAAGCAAGAUGAGAAUGUGUCCAUCACGUGUUCCUUCGGCUUCGUGCCCAAUGAUGGAGUGAAAGAGAAAGGUGUGCUUCCCAGCUUACUGAGAUACCAAAUAUGCAAUAUGCAGCAUCAGAACUAGAGAUGUUUCAGGAAACAGAGGAAUGGGAAAUGCAAAUACAACUACAUCUAGGUAUAAUAGAAGGUUCUUCGUACUCUGAAGAGGGUGGCAGCUGUUCUUCAUCCCCCUGUCGAAACGGUGGGAGCUGUGAGGCUUUGGAAGGGGGUUACCAGUGCAGCUGCCCCGUGGAGCCUUUGGCCUACACGGGCAUGAACUGUGAGCGGCUCUAUGAUGCGUGUGCUGGGCAGCAGUGUCCCGAGCGAAGGACGUGCAACAGGACUGCGGGGCUGCUGGGCCAUGAGUGCAUCUGUGUGCCUGGCUUCACAGGUGCUGACUGUGACAUUGAUAUUAAUGAGUGUGAGAGCAACCCUUGUACAGCCCCGCGGUCUGAGUGUGUAGAUGGUGUAAAUGGAUACACCUGUACCUGCCAAACGGGACUGAAGGGAGAAGGCUGCCAGACAGACAGCUCUGCGUGCUCUGGCCACCCCUGCCUCAAUAACGGCACGUGUGUGGAGGGCCCUGGGGACUACAGCUGCAUCUGCCAGCCUGGCUUCACCGGGGCCGACUGCGGAGACAACGCUGACGAGUGCGCCUCCAGCCCCUGCCAGAACGGAGCCAUCUGCCAGGACAGGGUGAACGAGUACAGCUGCUUCUGUGUGCCUGGCUUCCAGGGGCACAACUGUGAAAUAGACAUCAACGAGUGUGCCUCCCGGCCCUGCAGGAACAACGGCACCUGCCGGAACGAGAUGGAUCACUACGUGUGCCAGUGCAUCCCCGGCUACACAGGGGUGAACUGUGAUACUGAAAUAGAUGAAUGUGCUCCAGAGCCUUGCCAGAAUGGGGCCCUGUGCAAUGAUCACGUUGGGUUCUACACCUGCAGCUGUGCCCCAGGCUACCAAGGAAUGGACUGUGAGGUGGAUGUGGAUGAGUGUGUGAGCCAGCCCUGCCAGCACGGGGGAACAUGCCUUGACCUCGUUAACAGCUACCGUUGUGACUGCAGCGACACAGGCUUCGAGGGGCACCACUGUGAGCUGGAUAUCCUGGAGUGUGCCUCUCAGCCCUGCCUGAACAGUGCCACCUGCCUGGAGGGAAUCAAAAACUACAGCUGUGCCUGCUGGCCAGGUUACACAGGGCAGCACUGUGAAGAGGAUGUGGCUGAGUGUGCAGCAGAUCCCUGUCACAAUGGAGGGAUGUGCUUGGAGAGAUCCAACCAGUCCUAUUAUGGAACACAACCUGACUUCCCUGCUAAUUUCAGCUACAGCCAAGCAGCUGGCUUUGUCUGUUGGUGCCAGCCAGGCUUUGCAGGGGAGACCUGCUCUAUUGACAUCAAUGAGUGUGAGUCCCAGCCCUGCCAGAAUGGAGGGCUCUGCCAGGACCUUGUUAAUGGCUUCCUUUGUCAUUGCCUACCAGGCUAUUCAGGUGUGGAAUGUGCUGUUAACAUCAAUGAGUGUGAGGAGGGUCCCUGUGAGAAUGGAGCUGUCUGUGAGGAUGGCAUUGCUGACUAUACCUGCCACUGUGCCCCUAGCCAGGAUGGCAUUACAUGGGGAGGGAAGAACUGCUCUGUGAAGCUCACUGGGUGCCAGACGCACGACUGCCAGAACGGGGCCUUGUGCAUCCCAACGUACCGCGCUGAGCGCCACGGCCACCUGUGCCAGUGCCAGCCUGGAUUCCACGACGCCACAUGCUCAACACCAACAACGUUUUCCUUUGCUUCCAGAGGGUAUCUGCUCGUUGAGCUGCCCAUGAACAAUCAGAGCAGGAGGGGAGCAGCAGGAGAUGUGCUUGCCAGCGUGUCGCUUCGCUUCCGAACCACCCUGCCCAGCGCCAUCCUAUUUUACCGAGGCCACGAAGCCGAGUACUUGUUCCUGGAGCUCUUUGAUGGCAUCCUGCAUGCAGGAAUGAAGAGGCAAGAUGUUGGGUACCUGCUACUCCUGGAGGGACUGAGAGUCAAUGAUGGCCAGUGGCACAAAGUGGAAGUUGUUCUGCACAGCACUGUGCAGCUGAAGCUCUGGCACGACUCCUGCGACGCGGGCGUCUGCCUGCGCAGCUCCCCUGUCCUGCACGGCGCUGCUUCUGUCCCGCACGCCUUCCUCAGCGCCUAUGUUGGAGGUGUCAAGGACCCCAUGGCCACCACCACGCAGAGCCAGCAGGGCUUUGUGGGCUGCCUGGAGGACGUGGAGGUAGAUGCCCAGGCUGUGCUGCCGGCGGCUCUGCCCGUGACCGAGCCGUCCCCGGUGAAGCGGGGCUGUGAGCGCACGGAGUGGUGCCUGUCCCAGCCCUGCUCCCAUGGGGGGCUGUGUGUGGACCUCUGGGCAACCUUCAGGUGCGACUGCUCCAGGCCUUACAGAGGCCCAACUUGUUCAUACGAGCACCCAGCAGCAACAUUUGGCCUAGAGAAUUCCACCAGCUUUGCCUCUUUCACCCUUCCUGAGAGCCUUGGUGAAAACUUCAACAUCUCCUUUUUCCUUCGCAGUCGGAAGCCCAACGGUUUGCUGUUGCAGAUCACCAACGGCACUGCGCCCUGCCUCAGCGUGUACCUGGAGAGGGGCAAGCUGAGGGUACAGACCUUAUCCACAGAGACCCUGACAGUGCCAGGAAAUUUAGUUGAUGGCAGAAGACAUUUGGUAGCUCUGUCUUUCCAAGGAGGAGCUGUUGGUGCUCAGCAGUCAGACACACACCUGGAGCUCGGGCGGCUCGGAGCAGCACCUCUUCUAGCUGGCUAUGAAGUGCACGUUGGUGGACAUCCCAACCCAGACAGCACUGAGGCCUGGGGAGGCUAUUUUAAAGGCUGUUUGCAAGACAUCCAACUGAACAGCCAACAAAUACAGUUUUUCCAGGUUGAUAACUACAGUCUGCCACAGGAACUCAACUGGACUCAGAAUGGUAAUCUCGUGAGUGGCUGCAUCUCUGAUAACACCUGCAAGUCUGAGCCAUGUCAGAAUGGUGGUAGAUGCAUUGUCACUUGGAAUGAUUUCCAUUGCAGCUGUCCAGCCAAUUUCACUGGGAAAUUUUGUGAAGAGAGAGUCUGGUGUGAAAGUGACCCAUGUCCUGAAGCUACCACCUGUGUGGAUGUUGUGGCAGGAUAUGUGUGUCUGGCUAAUGCAACCUUUAAUAGCUCGGCUGCCAUUGAAUUCAUCGCCAAUACCUCGGUGACCAGAACUCUGAGCAGCCUCCACGUGGAUUUCAGAACCAGGGACGACGACGCCGUUUUGCUCCGGGCUGUGGAAGAAGUGGAUUCCCUCCAGAUAGCCAUCAGGAACUCGUCCCUGCUGGUCACCAUCAGGAGCGGGAACGGCGUCGAAGGCGUCAGCUUCCUGAGCCCGCAGCCCGUGGCCGACGGCGCCUGGCACUCGGUGGCCGUGGCCGCGGAGGAGCCGUCGGCGCCUUCCUCCCGCUGGCUGCUGCGUCUGGACGGCGGCGGCAACGUCACCCUGCCGGGCGGCGGCGCCGGGCUCCGCGCCCACGGCGCCCUGGUCACGGUGGCCGAGAACUACACGGGCUGCCUGGGGCGGCUGCGGCUGGGGGGGCUGCACGUGCCGCUGGCCGCCCACGCGCCGUACCCGCAGCCCGAGCAGCUGGUGCGCGCGCGCGGCGGGGCCGUGCGGCUGGGCUGCGCCGGGGCUCCCGUCUGCGCCUCGCGGCCCUGCCUCAACGCCGGCACCUGCCACGACCUGUUCGACGCCUUCGGCUGCUCCUGCGCGCCCGGCUGGGGCGGCCCCCGCUGCGGCGCCGACAUCGACGAGUGCGGCUCCAGCCCCUGCGUGCACGGCGCCUGCGUCGACGCCCUGGCGGGCUUCCACUGCGAGUGCUUCCGCGGCUUCAUCGGCAGGAGGUGCGACAUCAACGUGGACGACUGCGUGCGCCACCAGUGCCUCAACGGGGCCACCUGCGUGGACGGCGUCUACGGCUACUCCUGCAAGUGCCCUCCCCAGCACUCGGGGCCUCGCUGCGAGUGGCCGUUCCCCCCGGAGCAGUGUGGGAAGAACUUCACGUGUCUGAACGGUGGCAAGUGCAUCAGUGAGAGCUGGGGAGCCAACUGCAGCUGCAGGCCGGGCUUCACGGGCAGGAGGUGUCAGAUCCAUGUGAACAAGUGUGAGCCAAACCCCUGCCAGAACGGGGGCACGUGUCAGGACUCGGACAACAGCUACGAGUGCGUGUGCAGCGGCAGCUACACCGGGGAGCGCUGCGACGUCAACAAAGGGACUCCAGGUGCUCUCUUCCCCUCCCCACUAAUUGAAGUAGCUGUCCCUGUAGCCUGUGGCUCUUUACUGCUCCUCAGUAUCGGUCUCAUAUUCAUGAUUCUCACUGCAAGGAAGAGGCGUCAAUCAGAGGGAACCUACAGCCCGAGUCAGCAGGAAGUGGCAGGAGCUCGGCUGGAGAUGGACAGUGUCCUAAAGGUGCCACCCGAGGAGCGCCUGAUAUAGGCAGAGCCCGGAGGAGACACAGCCCAGGGUCCGCCCCGGCCCUCGCCCCUCCCAGCCCCGGAGCAGCAGCAGCUCCAGCCACCGGCCGCUCGUGGCACUGACGACGUGCGGCAGCUCCGGAGCCCGGCCGGGCCCUGCUGAGCUGCAGCUGCUCUGGCUGCACCGCCGAAGGGCACCACUGUACAGGUUAAGGUCUCUGCGUCCUCUGAGGAGCCUUGUACAGAGCCGCUGUGGGCACAGCUUAGCAACUCCUCGGUGGUGGGAGCAGUCGGGGCUGCAGGGGCUGCCCUGCUCCUCGCAGUCCUUGCAGCCACAGCCAUUGCCAUGAAGAGGAGGAGAGCAACUCAGGGAACGUACAGCCCGAGCCGGCAGGAGAAGGACGGGGCUCGAGUGGAAAUGUGGAACGUCAUCAAGAUGCCACCAACCGAGCGGCUGAUCUAGGAACCAGGCUCCUGUGACGAGUGCUCAUGGACCUGCUGCAGCACCUUUCUCUUAGCUCUUGAGCCACGGUUCUGUAGGACAGGUCUGUAACUGCUUUGGCUGCUUCGUAGGCUCCAGGCACCUGCUGCUGUUCCUUGGCAGAAGCCACCCGCUUGCCCAAGCGUGCUCAGUGCAGCUCGUCCCAUCACAGCUGUGCACAGCUGCUCUGCCAGCAAGAGGCUAAAGUCUGGGAGAGGAAAAACAAAGUCCUGGAGAGGCCAGUGGAGGAGAGGAAAUGAGCAGAGGCUGUGGAGCAGGGGGAGGGUCCACAGACCCACGGCCUGUGCGCUGCUGUGGCAGCAGCUGGAGGGACAGAGCUGCCCCAGCCACACAGGCUAAGAUACCAACGAGGCAAGUCCAAUGGGAAUGAAACCACUGUGCUAAGAAAUAAUGUGGGAAAUACGGUGGCUUCAAAAGACACGUGCCUGUGCCUCCUCUGCACAGCUCAGACCAGUGACUGAAUGCUGGAGCCACCUCCCAGAGCUGCUGCUGCCCCUCUGGCCCAGCCCGAGGCAGCCACGGUCCCAGCGAGCACCACGCUGCUGCUUCAGGCACUGCGACGCCAGGCUCUUCCUAAGCCUAAACCAAGGAAUAUUUCAAGUGCCUUUCUGAGCCUGAGGUGCCAGUUAGAGAAUUCACUGUCUCAAGAGGAGGAGGUUUCUGUGUAGAGGCCCCAGUGCCGUUGGUGGCUCAGGCCCUGCAGCUGGGGUGGUGGCAGCGGGUGUGUGACCUCAGCUGACCCCAUCUGGGCUCCUCAGCAGCGAGUGCAACGUGGUGUAAGCACAGGGUGAGUGGUAGCAGGAGGGGUGUGGGGCAGAGACACGGCCUGUGCUGCCCACAUCUCCCUACAAAGGAUGUUUGUAUGUUGGGGCUUCUCCUCUGUUACUGUUCCAGCUGUUGGGCUGCUCUUUCUUCUUCAGCAUCAGCCUGGGGAAGGAAAUACAGCAGAGCAGGCCAAGGUCUGAAGUCAGCUGCAUUUCAGCAUAGUUGCUACAGCCAUCAGUGAGAAAUGCUUGUAGAAAACUGUCUGCUUGUUAAUCCUCAGACUACUCUCAGUGAGCAGAGUGUGGCUGUGCCCACAGCCAAUGCCACUGGAAGAAAAUGCUGCUCUGGUACCUUUGGAAUUGAUUGGACUGUAGGUGUAAAUUUUAAUGUAAUUCUGAGCAAAGGGAAGAGUGCAAAGCUGCUGCUGGGGGCUGUCUGCUCAGAACAGGCCGUGUGCAGAGAAUGAACACUCUGGGAAACAGAAAGAAGCAAACCCUUGGGAGACAAGACAACCACUGCUGUGUGUAAGGAAGAUCACUUUCCCUCUGAGACGGAGGAGAAGCUGAAAACAAGAGCUGACCCCUGCCUGGCUCUGGUUUGGAAAGGAGCUGGAGGGAGCCCUGAUGCAGAAAUGAGCCGUGGCUUUGGUGUGUCAGUGCUCACAGGGCUGGUCCUUCUCCUGGGGAUGGCUCCCUCUGUGCAGCUGCCAGCUGCAGAGGUAGGUCAGUGCCAGGCAGCCCCAUGGCCCAGCCCCCUUGCUGCAGGGGAACAGGGUGAACUGCACCCGUGGAACUGCUCAGAGGCAGGAGGCAGCAUUGAGCCUGGCCCUGGAGAAAGUCACCCAGGGGCUGUAGGGCCCUGGCCCAGGGUCCCUCCUGCUCCGGGGCACCCAGCUCCCCUCAGGCCUGGCUGGUGGCUGGUACUUCAGGGCAAAGGUGGGUCUGUGUGUCUUCAACCUGUAACACGCUGUAACAAACCUACAGCAGCUUUGAUGAUGCUUUGGGUUCCUGCACACUCCGAGCUGAUGCACCUCCAGGCUGUGGCCAGGAGAGGCUUGGACCUGCCUCCACCUGGGUUUUUGCAUUGAACUUGUGGAAACACCAAGGCAGCACCAGGAUUUGCAUGAGCCAACCUUGUUCCAGCCCAGGGGCCUGGGAGAAGAGCACCAGAAUGGUAAGAACUGAGGUGUUUGAGCCAGGCUGCUGCAGUGUCCUGCAGGGCACCACGGAGGGACAAAGCCCAGAGCAGCCCCAGCUGCUGUGCAGGGAGCAGAGCUGAGCAAGUGUUCACUUCAAGCACCCAAAGCCAGGACCAGCACAAGUGGUAAAAUGCUCUGUCAGUGUCUUGAGCAUUUCUGCAGAAUAAUUUAUGAAGGUGUUUUGCUGUUUUUUUCACUAAUGAACUGAACUUGCUUUUGAUACUGAAUUUUUGACUCUAUUUUUUCACAGAAGGGGCUGUGCUGCAGUUGCCCAGCCUGAGCCUUGAGCCUGGGCCCUUUGGUAACUGUUCAUCAUUUGUAAAAACCACAAUGUUUUCACAAGAACUUGACAAUAAAAUUUGGUUAAAGUAGACCCAA